rnacentral:rRNA from 1 species
AUGGCUGGCCCUGGCUGGGGAUCCUCCUCCGGUGGCAACUGCUGCCUCCGGUUGGGGCUUCCCCCGGCUCCGGGUUGGUGGCCUCGAUGGGGGAAGCUCGUGGUGGUGGCACUGGUCGUUAGCGUGGUCGUGGCACGACGAUUGGCGCUUGACGGUGGGAUGCGGGUGGAGGUGGUGGCCUCCCUUAUCCUAGGUUCAUGCCGGCGACACUUGUACGUCAGGGGUGGCUAUGACCUAGGGUCUAUGCUUGGGCGGACCGGAUUUAGGCCCCAGGCAGGCCGGAGCCGGCGCUCCGGGUAA